UACGUAGGUGGCAAGCGUUGUCCGGAUUUACUGGGCGUAAAGGGCGUGCAGGCGGUCUGUUAAGUGCAGGGUGAAAGCUCCCGGCUCAACUGGGAGAGGUCCUUGCAUACUGACGGACUUGAGGGGGGUAGAGGAAAGUGGAAUUCCCGGUGUAGUGGUGAUAUGCGUAGAUAUCGGGAGGAACACCUGUGGCGAAGGCGGCUUUCUGGGCCCUACCUGACGCUGAGACGCGAAAGCGUGGGGAAGCGAACCGG
rnacentral:rRNA from 1 species